CAAGUCGAGCGAACGGAUAAGGAGCUUGCUCCUUUGAAGUUAGCGGCGGACGGGUGAGUAACACGUGGGUAACCUACCUAUAAGACUGGAAUAACUUCGGGAAACCGGAGCUAAUGCCGGAUAACAUUUGGAACCGCAUGGUUCUAAAGUAAAAGAUGGUUUUGCUAUCACUUAUAGAUGGACCCGCGCCGUAUUAGCUAGUUGGUAAGGUAACGGCUUACCAAGGCAACGAUACGUAGCCGACCUGAGAGGGUGAUCGGCCACACUGGAACUGAGACACGGUCCAGACUCCUACGGGAGGCAGCAGUAGGGAAUCUUCCGCAAUGGACGAAAGUCUGACGGAGCAACGCCGCGUGAGUGAUGAAGGUUUUCGGAUCGUAAAACUCUGUUAUUAGGGAAGAACAAAUGUGUAAGUAACUGUGCACAUCUUGACGGUACCUAAUCAGAAAGCCACGGCUAACUACGUGCCAGCAGCCGCGGUAAUACGUAGGUGGCAAGCGUUAUCCGGAAUUAUUGGGCGUAAAGCGCGCGUAGGCGGUUUCUUAAGUCUGAUGUGAAAGCCCACGGCUCAACCGUGGAGGGUCAUUGGAAACUGGGAAACUUGAGUACAGAAGAGGAAAGUGGAAUUCCAUGUGUAGCGGUGAAAUGCGCAGAGAUAUGGAGGAACACCAGUGGCGAAGGCGACUUUCUGGUCUGUAACUGACGCUGAUGUGCGAAAGCGUAAAGAUCAAACAGGAUUAGAUACCCUGGUAGUCCACGCCGUAAACGAUGAGUGCUAAGUGUUAGGGGGUUUCCGCCCCUUAGUGCUGCAGCUAACGCAU
rnacentral:rRNA from 1 species